rnacentral:rRNA from 1 species
GGGGAAUAUUGGACAAUGGGGGCAACCCUGAUCCAGCCAUGCCGCGUGUGUGAAGAAGGCCUUUUGGUUGUAAAGCACUUUAAGCAGUGAAGAAGACUCCAUGGUUAAUACCCGUGGACGAUGACAUUAGCUGCAGAAUAAGCACCGGCUAACUCUGUGCCAGCAGCCGCGGUAAUACAGAGGGUGCAAGCGUUAAUCGGAAUUACUGGGCGUAAAGCGAGCGUAGGUGGCUUGAUAAGUCAGAUGUGAAAGCCCCGGGCUUAACCUGGGAACGGCAUCUGAUACUGUUAGGCUAGAGUAGGUGAGAGGAAGGUAGAAUUCCAGGUGUAGCGGUGAAAUGCGUAGAGAUCUGGAGGAAUACCGAUGGCGAAGGCAGCCUUCUGGCAUCAUACUGACACUGAGGUUCGAAAGCGUGGGUAGCAAAC